ACUCAGGCGAUACCAGCGAGGGCCUUGAGGGUAGGGCCUAGGACCCUGCUGGAGGGUCGAGGCGGAAGUAAGCGACUAGGAGCGGCGCGCGAGGGGCGGCUGGCGGGCGGGGCCGCGCGCUCGCUGUUGCUUAGGCAACCUGCGCGCGCCGCUGAGAGGCUGGAUCCGCACCCGCCCCUGGAUCAGGGCUCGUCUGCCUUUCCAGCAACCCAGUCCUUUUUGUGUCACAUUUCUCAUAUUUUUUUCCUUCCCACUUUACAGACUGACAGCUGACCACUUAAUUUCAACAGAUAGUUUUCAAGCUGGGGAGAAACACAAGAUCCUUAUUUUGAGAAACUUGCUGUCAAGAGGAGCCGUCCAUGACUUUAAUAGUGUGUUGGGGGGUCUAAUAGGAUAAACCAGCGAACGAGGUUGUCGAUCCUCCGCCACAUUUAUCCAGCUUAAUAACAAACUUCGAAUCCUUUCUAUGUGGCAGGCACUAAAAUGCUAAACGCUGGGGAUGCUGAGUAAGGUAGGUGCCAACCGUCUAGGAUAUGAGUCCGAAGUUCUUGUAUUGUGAGAGGAGAAGACUGCAUGUCCUGCAAAUUUCAUGACACAUCUAAGCAUCUGUGUUUGGAAAAUAAGCAUCCUACUCACAAUGUGUGCAAUGCCCUUUUUAAGCAAUAUUGCAAUGAAUAAGAAAAAUCGGAAACAGGCAGUAGCAUCGUGGGCAGAUCUAGUCUUUAGACUGAAGGCGAGACAUCUAAGAGAGAAAUAGGGAAGCGUCUGCAGUGGGAGCGCUGAAGAUCAGCUCCACCUUUGCCAUGAUUUUUAGCGGACUGUUCUUGAGUGCUGAUUCCAACUGUGGGAAAGACUCCAUAUCCUCAUGACACUCAUGGUGUUCUUCACUUUUAAAACUUUUCCUGAAAAGAAUAAUGACAAAUCAAUAAGCGACUACUCGGUGAGAGGAUUCACGAUGAAGCAGAUUCCUGGGACUCGCUGCCACCGGAUCCAGGAUCCAUCCAUCCCAAGCACAGUAGUGCAUAAGGCUGGAAAUGAAAUUGCACGGCCUGUCCAUGGAGAAAUCCAAGGCUUCCACGGAGCUAAACACAAGAUGCCUGAAGUCCGUCUCACACUUGGACACAGCCAUGCACCUUGUGGAGGCUUGGUAAACACUGCUGGAACUUAACCAAUCCAGCUUUUAAAAAUACUAUUAUUUAUAUAUCAUUCAAAAUGUAAGUAUGCAUUUAUAAGAUUGGAAAAAGAACUUCAUUUCACAGAUGGAAAAUGGAGACCUUGAAAUUUCAAGUGACUUACCUGAAAUCGCAAAACCAGCGAAUGACGCAGCGGUCUUGGCUCUGCGUGGGGAGCCGCCAUGACGCGACUCCUCCCCGCAUCCCAUCUCAGAGCGCUGCUUCUGACGAUGUCCCGACCCUAACUCCCUGACAUUCAAGGCCAACCUCUGUAUUUUAUUUCCUUCAAGAAAGCCUUUCUUGCCUGUAGUAGGCAGGGCAGUGGAGCCCCAGCACAUUCACAUCCACAUCUCCAGACCCUGUGACUGUGUUACCUUACAUGGCAAAAGGCUCUUUGAAGAUGUGAGUGGAGGGUCUUGAGAUCAGAUUAUCCUGAGUUACCUGGUUGGGACCCAUGUCACCGCAGGGAGGCAGAAGAAGGGGUGUCAAGAUGAAGUGAUGAGAAAGACUGGAGCAGCCAUCGCUGACUUUGAAGAUGGAAGGGCACCCUGAACCAAGGAAUAUGGGAAGGUUCUAGAAGCUGAAAGAGGGAAGGCCAUGGAUGGUCCUCGACACCUACAGAAGGAACAUAGCCCCCCAACAUCUUGAUUUUACCCCAGUGAGACCUAUUUUGGACCUCUGACUUAAGAACUGUAAGCUAAUAAGUUUGUGUUUCUGUAAGCCAGCAAGUCUGUGGUAAUUUGUGACAGUAACAGUAAGAAAUGAAUGCAAUGACUGCCCUAUCUCCCUGGUCAUUUAAACUUUUCAUGGUCUAUUAUCAUUUUUUAAUUCAGGUAUCUUUCUACAAGUAGGUAACAGGCUCUUUAAAGCUUAUGGUGUGUCACACAGACUUGAACACUUAGGCUAAUUCUUAAAGUAGCAGUAGGUACCCUUGGGCAAGGUACUUAACCUUUUGCAGUUUUAAUUUUGUAACUGUAAAACAAUGAUUAUAAAACCUUAUCUUGGGGAAUUUGGUGAGGAUUAACAAACAAAUUCAUUUUAAGCAAAAUUCUGUGACUGGCAGAAUGAAAGUAUUUAUUUAAACUCAUCUAAUAUAAAAUUAGUUGUACUAUUUGUGCAUUUUUUAACUAACAAAUUAACAAAAAUCAUGCCAAUUGAUUUAUGAACACCAAGGUCCUAAAUAGCUAUAAAAAUAUGUAUUAUCCUUCAAGGACACCAUUUUCUUCCUUCUAUCUACUGGCUGUAAGCUUGGUUAUAGAUUUAUAUUACAGCUCCAUCCCUGGAGUGGGAGAGGUUGUUGGGACAGAGGUGGAAAUUACAAUGGGAUUAUGUAAACGAGGGAGUAUGUUGCAUACAUUGCAACACUUGUAGGAGUGACAUAUUGGCAGUUAUUUUCUAUAUCACUAGUCCCCUAGCCCCGAACAAUUGCUACCAUAUGUUGCCACAAAUCUUUACAUGUGAAUAUCUUGAGCCCCCUAACUGAUGUUACAGUAUAUAUGGAUGCUAUGCUAUGUAUGCUAAUAGAUGUAUGGAAACAGCAUUAAGUUGUUGAUUAGAACUGAGUUUGAAUUCUGCCUCUUAUUAAGUAUGUAAAUGUAGGCCAUUUAUUUCACACAUGAAUUAAAAUGAGAACAUUUACUAAUAUGCAGAAUGAAUGAGAUACCUUAUGAGAAAGCAUCUCUGUGGCAGAGUCAAGUACACCCAAUGUCCUCAUAAACAUUGUUUUAAUUUUCCUUUGAGAAUUGGGCAUCGUACUUUUUAUUCUUUACUGUCCCUUCUUGUGAUUAGCCCCUAAGAAACCCCAAAUAAAUAUUUGUUGCAAUUGAGAAUUAUGAUAUAUUUAAUAAAAAUAAGAAAAUAAAUCACCAUGAAAAAAAUUUUAAUGUAAGAAAAAAAAAGUAGUGGAAAGCCUACAGUUGGUCAACAUCCAAUUAUUAUAUAUUUAGGGUCAGAAAAAUUCUUUGAAAUUGUGAUAUAUUGUACUUUUUCUCAAAAUGUACUUCAACACAGAAUUUACACAUGGCCUGAAAAUACAGUGUUUAGAAAGUCUUCUCUUUCCUUUAAUCUUUAAAAUAAAGUGCAUAGAAUAAAUAUUUGAAAAAGUGUAGCUUGAAAUGAAGAAACAGAGAGAUUAAUGUAUUUAAUUCAAAACAUGAUUCAAGGUCGCCAUAUAAACAGUUUGCUGUCUCUAGUUUCCCUCCAGUCUAAACUAUC